UGAGGUGAUCUGCCCUGCACUUCGGGAUAAGCUUGGGAAACUGGGUCUAAUACCGGAUAGGAGCCAUCUUUAGUGUGGUGGUUGGAAAGUUUUUUCGGUGUAGGAUGAGCUCGCGGCCUAUCAGCUUGUUGGUGGGGUAAUGGCCUACCAAGGCGGCGACGGGUAGCCGGCCUGAGAGGGUGUACGGCCACAUUGGGACUGAGAUACGGCCCAG
rnacentral:rRNA from 1 species